UACGAAGGGUGCAAGCGUUACUCGGAAUUACUGGGCGUAAAGCGUGCGCAGGCGGUUUUGUAAGCCAGAUGUGAAAUCCCCGGGCUCAACCUGGGAACUGCAUUUGUGACUGCAUGGCUGGAGUGCGGCAGAGGGGAUGGAAUUCCGCGUGUAGCAGUGAAAUGCGUAGAUAUGCGGAGGAACACCGAUGCGAAGGCAGGUCUCUGGGCCACGUACUGACGCUGAGAAGCGAAAGCAUGGGAGCGAACAGG
rnacentral:rRNA from 1 species